GAAGCAAACAGUAGAAAACAGCCGCGGGAAAAUGGACGCAGAUGUUCGCCGGCUGGCCCGGUAGUCACGGAGCUGUGAGCCGAGGAGGAUCAACCUAACCCGCCUUUUGAGUUUAUGUUUGAUGACCCUCCGGUUGUUUUUCUUUUGCAAGUCUGAUCAACUGUCGAAGAAACAGAGAGCGGCGAUUUAAGAUGGCGAGCCCGGCCCAGAGAGUUGGAGAUGCGGCGUGGCCAGCUGCAGAACCUACCUUGGAGACUCCAGAUCAUCUGAAUCACACACUCUGAAAACAGAUAAGACACACACUCCUCACCUACCCAGGUAGUAGUAGUAGAGAUUGAGGAUGAAGUAACUGAAUGGACAUUGAUACAGAACACACACACCUUGGGAUUCACCUUUCAGAACUGAACUUCAUUGAGUUGGAGAGCUCAACUGUAAUGGACUCUUUUUUUAUUUGUAUUCAAUAAUUUUAUUUUGUGGCGCCUUAUUUUGGUAAAUGAAAAUACAGCUAAGUUGUCAAUGUUAUUAUUUGUUGUACAUUGACAUUAAAGUGUCAUCUGUUCAAUUGAACCAACACCCACUCCUGUUUGUGGGUAACUCCCUGGUGCAACUCCUAUCAGACCUAUAGUGAUGUGACGUCUCCUUAACCUAAAAGUCAGGACCAAAGGUGCUACAUGUAGUAACUCAUUACUUUUGCAGUUUUCAUGCUGCACCUGAGCCAAAAUGUAUUUAUAAAAGUCUUCGCAAUCAGAUUUAAAACCCAGCAAACUUAACAAUAGCGAAUAACAAAAUGUCUUUUGCAGUUUAUUUAUCGAUGUGAAGUUGAAAGUUAAACUCACAGAAAUCGUAUCAUCUGCUCUUUAAUCUCUGCGUAUACGUGAACUCUGAUCAACGGAGGAUCUUUUAAAGAAAAGUACCAGAGAACAAACAGGUCGCUGUGAACACGGAGCGUUAAUGAAUCUUGUCCUUUAGGAACAAACGGCAGACGCUGCAUCUAUUAUUAACAGAACUCUGCGUCUGAAUACUAAAGAAAUACAAAGGGCAGCGUGUACGACACUUUGUCCUCACACAACAUGUCUGUCCAGUGGUAACUCACAGGACACAAAUAAAUAACAGACACGCAGGAGUGAUUCUGUAUAGCAAGAAAGAUCUGGACAAAGUCGCAGUGAUGUGAAAUUUUAAUGCAUUUAAAUGAUUUUUUAAAAGUUGUUCUGAGCUCCUGCUGAUGUUUGCAGGAUGGCAAAAGAUGUACAGAUUGUGAAGCCUCGAGGAAAAUAUAUGAUUUAUUAAAAACGUACUCAGUA